UGAGGAACAUGACCUUCGGCGGGGGAUAGCCGGCCCAACGGCCGGGUAAUACCGCGUACGACCACAUGGGGACAUCCCUGAGUGGUGAAAGCAGCAAUGCGCCGAUGGAGUGCCUCGCGGCCUACCAGCUAGUUGGUGAGGUAACGGCUCACUAAGGCGACGACGGGUAGCUGGUCUGAGAGGAUGGCCAGCCACAUUGGGACUGAGACACGGCCCAGACUCCCGUAGGGACGG
rnacentral:rRNA from 1 species